rnacentral:misc_RNA from 1 species
GAUGAAGAACGCAGUGAAAUGCGAUAAGUAAUGUGAAUUGCAGAAUUCAGUGAACCAUCGAAUCUUUGAACGCACAUUGCGCCCGGCAGUAAUCUGCCGGGCAUGCCUGUCCGAGCGUCAUUUCUGCCCUCGAGCCUGUCCAGCAUCUAGGUGCUGUUCCGGCCCGGCGUUGGGGCACUACGGGAAGCCUCGUGCUAUCCCCCGUAGGCCCCGAAAUGAAGUGGCGGUCCUGCCGCGGCUCCCCCUGCGUAGUAUUACAGCUCGCUUCGGGACCCGGUGGAGGCCUGCCGUCAAACCUUACUCUCUAAGUUUGACCUCGGAUCAGGUAGGGUUACCCGCUGAACUUAAGCAUAUCAUAAGCGGAGGA